rnacentral:misc_RNA from 1 species
CAACCCUCAAGCCUGGCUUGGUGUUGGGCCCCGCCUGCCCGGCCGGCCCUAAAGACAGUGGCGGCGCCGCCCGGUGCUAAGCGUAGUACAGCUCUCGCUCCAGCGCCUGACGGUGGCCUGCCAGAACCCCAACUCUGU